UACAGAGGUGGCAAGCGUUGUUCGGAAUUACUGGGCGUAAAGGGCGCGUAGGCGGCCUUCUAAGUCAGACGUGAAAUCCCCCGGCUCAACCUGGGAACUGCCUUUGUGACUGCAAGGCUUGAGUGCGGCAGAGGGGGAUGGAAUUCCGCGUGUAGCAGUGAAAUGCGUAGAUAUGCGGAGGAACACCGAUGGCGAAGGCAAUCCCCUGGGCCUGCACUGACGCUCAUGCACGAAAGCGUGGGGAGCAAACAGG
rnacentral:rRNA from 1 species